rnacentral:lncRNA from 1 species
UGUCUAUAAUGAACUUCAUUGCUGCUUUUUAAAAAUUUUUCCUUUUGAUAAGAAAUUAAAGACUGAUUUCCUCUCUACAAAAGAAAAUGCCACUUUAUUCCCCAUACACACCCUCUCUCUUAGUAAAACAACUCUGAUUUUUAUAGCUGGGCAUCUUGCCACCCAGUUAAAGAUGUAUUCCCUUGCAGCUAAAUAAGGCCAAGUGACUAUGCUCUUGCCAAUAAUAUGUAAACUGAAGUGUAGCAAGGUACUUUUGGGAAGUCUCUUUAAAAAGCAUCAUUUCUUUUGUAUUUGUCCCUUCAUCUUCCUGCUACUCAAGAUGUGCAUAUAAUGGCAGGCACUUCUGUAGGCAUUUUGGAUCAUGAAAUGUCUUUGAUGGAAACUAAGAAAAGUAGAGAAACAGAAUUGAAGGUUUCACAAUUCUAAAACCUUUGUAAAAGUUUUGUAAAAGGUUUUACAAUUGAAGGUAAUUAAUAUUACACUAUUAAUUAUAGUAAAGGUCAUGCUUCUGUGGAAAAAAAAAAGAGUCCCUUGACAUGAUGGUUCAAACAAGUUAGGAAAGGCAGACUGUGCUUCUCAAAAUCAGCCAGAGAAUCAGACUGGCUGAGCACACUGCCAUCCUCAAUGCAUGGCUUCUAGAUUGCUUUAGCCUUUAUCAUUUGAAGCCAAUAGGAAGCAAGGAGAACAUCAAAGCACAUAAUUAAUGACCGAAAGCAUCCAUCACUUCUGCUCAAAUCAUUUUGGGAAUGUCAUAGUCUUCUUGAUCACACUUGAAUGCUGGGGAAGCUAAGCAGUGUAGUACAACUGGACAAUCAGUUCCUGUGUCCAAGAACUUUUUAAAGACAGUAGGGUAGAAUGCUUACUUGUAAUCAAAAAGCAGUCUCCACCAAAACUGUAGGUCUUCAUAUUCUAUCCAGAUGGUAAAAAGUUAACUUUUCUCUUGUUUAGCUUACUACACGCCGGGCCUUUAUUAUUUAUAGUUGAACAUCAUCUUCAUUGAUAUACCCCUUUUAUGUUUUUUCAAUGAACCUCAUCUGUAAAUCAUUAACUGGAUUAUUAGAUAAGUGCUAAAUAAUCCCCAGCUGUAAAAUUCUAAGAAUAAUUAAAACUUCCUUUCUUAACAUUCUUAGUGAACAACUUACAGGUUAAAAAACAAACCCAAAGAGAUUAUUUCCUGCAAAGAGCCUUUAGUAUGGUAGCACCUACUUCUAGAAGGCCUGUCAUAAACUGUCAUCUAGUGAAAGUGAUGAAGAAGAGUGGCUGGGAGUCAAUCUUAUCAGGAGCUGGAACAGGUGAAGCCCUCACCAGUGAAAAAUCUUGACAGAUGCAGCUACUAAGAUUUCCUACUACAAAGAAUAACAGCAGUUAGAAAAGCAGACUCCCUGUGGUGGCGACCAGUAUCUUCAAACUCAUACCAGAGUAAAGCCUUAUCCAUUUGGAGUUCUUUCUGAUGCAUUAUGUGAGAAAAACAAGCAAACAAAUGAACACUUAUUUGUAUUUGAAUUGCACUAAAUUUAUACAUGAAACUGAAAAAAACUGAUAUCUUUAUGAAGCUGCAUAAUCCUAUCCAAGGACAGACGUCUCCUUCCAUUUGCUUUUGCUUUACUAAUUUGAAUCUAUGUUAUUUGUUUUGGAUACAUCUGGAAUUGACUUUUUUGCAUGGUGUAAGAGCCAGCUCUUCUUCAGGAUAAGCAUGCCUGGUUUCUUCAACUUAUUCCACAAGAGUGAACAAAAAUAACAGUUCUUCCUGGAUCAGCCCUCUCCCGUCUGUCAUCUCCAACAGAUACAAAGCCAGCUUUAAGAAGACCAAACCUACAAAAAUCAUUCAUGCUUUCUGCCUCCAUGUUUUUCUUUCCAACCUAGUUCCUCCAGAAAAUGUAAAAGAGCAACCGAACCGUCAACUGGUACAAUGACUUCUACACAUCAGACCUCGGCCACGCCACAGUCAUCAGAUUAUUCUAUCACAGGGUCUCUCAACCGUGGAAUAUGGUCUCCAAGGGAAACAAGCCACAGAGGGCUCAGGAGCAUUGCUAUAAAGAGUAGGCAAAUGGAAAUCUUUCCCCAAAGGGCACACUGGGAUUGUUAGGCGAGGGCUGCUCAAUCCAUUAAAAGUUUAAACUCGAAAAAAAAAAAGAAAAAAAAAACCUUUUGAAAAAA